rnacentral:sRNA from 1 species
AUGGACCACGCGUACACUUCCGGUUCCUCCGCGCCGUCCACACCCACCUGACGACUGCUCGCCAGGUUCUAUCAGCC